UACGUAGGGUGCGAGCGUUGUCCGGAAUUACUGGGCGUAAAGAGCUCGUAGGUGGUUUGUCGCGUUGUUCGUGAAAACUCACAGCUUAACUGUGGGCGUGCGGGCGAUACGGGCAGACUGGAGUACUGCAGGGGAGACUGGAAGUUCCUGGUGUAGCGGUGGAAUGCGCAGAUAUCAGGAGGAACACCGGUGGCGAAGGCGGGUCUCUGGGCAGUAACUGACGCUGAGGAGCGAAAGCGUGGGGAGCGAACAGGA
rnacentral:rRNA from 1 species